rnacentral:tRNA from 1 species
CAAAUUAGAGCUUGAGUAGUAAGUAUUUCAUUUACAUUGAAAAGAUAUUAAUAAUUAAUUAAUUUGA